rnacentral:rRNA from 1 species
GCGUGGGUGAAGAAGGCCUGCGGGUUGUAAAGCCCUUUCAGUGGGGAAGAAAAGCCUGGUGCUAAUAUCGCCGGGUCUUGACGUUACCUACAGAAGAAGCACCGGCUAACUCCGUGCCAGCAGCCGCGGUAAUACGGAGGGUGCAAGCGUUAAUCGGAAUUACUGGGCGUAAAGCGCACGUAGGUGGUUCGGUAAGUCAGGUGUGAAAGCCCUGGGCUCAACCUAGGAAUUGCAUUUGAUACUGCCGGACUCGAGUAUGGUAGAGGGGGGUGGAAUUCCCGGUGUAGCGGUGAAAUGCGU